UUUAUAUGGACCAAUUUAUUUUUCUAAAAAUUCUAAAAAAGUAUUUUAGUGAUGACACGUAACUGCGAAAAUAUGUUAUAAAGCUGAAAAAUUAAUAUAUAGGGAUUAAAAUCCCUUCUAGAUAUACUCGUUUUCCCCACGGGUUUUUUCCACUACCAAGGUUAUUGAUAAAUGGAAUAAGACAUAUAUAUAUUUAUAUAUGGGAGGAGCUUCCCAUGACCUUUAUUUAAUUAAUAUUUUAAAAUUUUGAGCAUAUAUCUGAUUGAAUUUAGUGGUAGGGACCUCAAUAUAAAGUCCUUUAAUUUCUGCCAUCGGGAAAUUUAUUAGAGGUGUCAAGACAGAAUAGUGUACAAUUAGAUUAAAAGUAUAGCCUACGGAAUAUGAGUUAUCUAUCUAUCUAUCUAUUGUUAUAAAGUUACAUUUUUUCUCACUCAUAUCUCCAAAUUAUGACACGUGUCCCCUCUUAUUACCUGAAUUCAACGCUUCAGCAUUCUUUCUAUUUGUGGCUACUUACGUUGUUCGUCUGGUGGGCUCCUGCACUGAAAUUCCAGAGAUGGCCCAAUCUUAUUUUAUGGUUUGUAUCGGGUGAGACACGAGCUAUGCUCCUCCUCCCUGGCUCUCCGUCUUCUAGAAGAUUAAAAGAGAUCUCUAAACGUGGGCAGCCAUGGCAAACACCAAAGUCCAGUGGAUUAUGAUCCAGCUAAUUUGUUCAAGAGUUUCUGGUGUUCUCUUUGUGCUUAUGGACUCUUAUGUUGAUCUAGAGUACAAAAAAUACAGAGGUAAAAACUCUAGCAUUUUUCGUGGAUUUGGAUGUCAUUUGCAAAUAGAUCGAUCAUCAAUACUUGGAGAUGCAAUCUAUUAUCUCAACGAACUUUUACAAAGGAUCAAUGAUCUUCACAACGAACUUGAGUCAACUCCACUUGGAUCUUUGCCUCAAGCGUCAACAAGCUUCCAUCCAUUAGCACCUACACCUGAUACUCUUUCUUGCCGUGUGAAGAAAGAUUUAUGUCCCUCAUCUUAGCCAAGACCUAAAGGCCAACAAGCAAGAGUUGAUGUUAGACUAAGGGCAGGAAAAACAGUGAAAAUUCGUGUGAUUUGUUGUCAUAGACCCCUGGUCAUUUGCUAGCAAUCGUGAAAACCUGAAUAAUCUCACGGUGAUUAGCUGUUCAGCAAGCGGUGAUUAGCUGUUCAAACCGGUUUGCCACGCUGAGGUUUCUAAUCAUUGAAAAAAAUCCAAGCGCCAUUGAAGUCAAAUUGUCUUCUUGGAGGCUGCGAUCCUCGCCAUAGAGAGCCUUCUUACAGUGUAAAUGCUGUUCAACCCGUCGAGCAGAAGAUCCAGACCGCAAAUAUAACAAGGCCGUAAAGCCAUAUCAGUCUCCACCAUUUGUCAAGGAAUUUGUAUCUAGAAAGAGGAAAGAAGCCAGCAACAAAGGAAGAAGAAGAAUAAGAAUAAGAGAAGCUACCUAAGUUAACCAAAGAAAAAGAAGAGUUGAUUAAGAAAGAAGAGGAGAAGAGAAAACAAAAGUGUAAUGACCCACCACUCCCACCAUCUCCACUUCUUUCUCCAACCCCACCACUUCCAACUUCUUCUCCACCAUCUCCACCUUCUUCCCCACCACCUCCAUCUUCUUUAAAAUUAAGAAAGAGAGAGAGAGAGAGAGAGAGAGAGAGAGAGAGAGAGAGAGAGAGAGAGAAGAAGAAGAAGGGAGAAAGCUCACCUGAGCUCGUCGCCGGAGCCACCACACGCCAGGACGUCGUCAAGCUCGUCACCACCAUCAUCCGCAACCAAAGACCACCAUCGUGUUCCUCUUGUCGAGACGAAUCCAUAGCCACCAAAAACGCCUCAAUCGGAGUCCGGACGAAGCCGCACGCGCCUCCGGAAGUUUUGCCUCUGCCACCGCCGGACCACCGUCCCCUGCCGCCGGAAUAUCCGCCGUCGCCGCCGGUGACCGACACCGGUGACUCGCCGGCGACUCGGUUAACUCGGCCGAGUCAACUCAGUGAGUCAACUCGGUUGACUCGGUUAACCGAUCGGUUAGCCGGUUUAAAUUGAUUUCAAUUCGGUUAGGUUAAACCGGUCGGUUAAAAUCAAUUGGAAAUCGGUUAGGAAAAAUCGGAUUAAUUAAUUAAUUAAUUA